GCUCUGAUACCGGUUGUUAUGGUUGGAUUCCAAAUCCCAACCUACUUCAAUCGUCCAGUAAGAAUUAACACAGAAUUGUAAAUGAAAUUAGUUAGCCAACUAUAUUUAAUUGAUGUUCUGAAGGAAAUUACAAUGAAACUAGAAUGGAGAAGAGAGAAGAAAGAGAAUCAGCUAGAGAGGAAUGAGAAUCAGGACCAAUAAUUUUACCCAACAAUCGUCAAAGACAAACAGGAGGAAUGAGGAAAGGAAGGCUUCUGAAGCCAGUGGAAAUACACGAGGAUGGUAUAGUUUAUUCAUGAGACCCGACACAGUCGUUGAAAACAUUGCUUGAAAAUUUGGUGCUAGUAAAAGUGAAUUACCAGAUAGAGAAGCUGAUGAUCUUGCUGUGCGCAUUGCAUUGGGAGAAACUCGAGUGAUUGCCGAUACAAAAAAAGCUCUUUCAAAGGCUGGUAUUAAUGUUUCCUCAUUAGAGGAGUUCGCCUCUGGGAAACUGGUGGUUUGAAGAGAAGCAACCAUGUUAUCUUGGUGAAGAACUUGCCCUAUGGUUCAUCUGAAAGUGAACUGGCUGAUAUGUUAGGGAAUAUGGCAGAUUGGAUAAAGUUAUACUACCACCCACAAAAAUUUUGGCUUUGGUAUCUAUUUUCUUUUCCUCCUUUUCUGGUCUCUCUAUAUAAUUCAGUAUUUGGUUUUCGGACAUAUGCUUUAGUCAAGCUCGCAAUUUUAUAACCAUAUUACUUUCUGUUCCUUGAAUAGUGUGUAUUUAUGUAAUAUGUAA